CCCACAACAUCAGUCUACUUCCAGCUGGGCUUCCUGACACAAGUGAAGUGAAAACGUGUCUUACAGGUGAAAAUUGGGAUAUGUAUGAUUGGAUAACAUCAGAGUGGAGUCAAGAUGGCAUUAAUCAGGAAGAAACACAACCUUGGAAAGGUUGCAGCAGUUUGUUUUUGUCUGAGGAUAUUGAGAAGGAUGAGAUUUCCCACUGAGGAAAUUAUGGUGUAGAAAAAUCCUCAAGAUAACGAGGUUUUGAUCUGAAACUUUGCAGGGAACACAAAAUAUGAUGCAUACAACUGCUUGGUAAAUCAUGUGGCUGUAAAGUGUCCAGGAGGAAGAUUACCAUAAAUGUAAACCAAUGAAGCAUUGUAUAAAAUAGUAGUUUAUUUUCAGGACAUUAAAGGAAAAUACUUUUUUCUGCAAUGCACUCUUAAUUGUGAAUUUUCCUUCCUCAAGACGGAAUUAUUGUCAGUGGCUUACAGGAUCUUUCCUAUUGCAUGAUUAUAGCAGUUUGGUGUCCCUUUAACUGCCAUGUUUCUAUCCUAUGGAAUCCUGGUAUUUGAAAUUUUCUGGGAUGUCUAGAAAUCUUUGCUGGUGUUGUAGUUUAAGGGAAGGCACCAUAGCUCUCUAGCAGAGAAUUCUGAAGACUAAAAAACAAAGGAACCCUUACAGACUCUUGGAUUAUGUGGGUAUUGUUUUCUAUCUCGUUGGUUUUGAUGUAUGGCUGCUGUGUUAACAAUAAUCCAAAUGGGAUUUAAUCAAAGCAUGUAUCAUGGUAGCCAGAUCUGACAUCUGCUGGUUCAGGUGUAUCUGACGCACCAAUUUUAUCUGUGCUAAACAUAUUGCGGAUCUCUGCCAAAACCUAAGCACCUAGGCUCAGAUCUGAGUCCAGGAGUAUGGACAAGUUAUUAUUUCAAGAAGAAUGUAAUCUCAUCCAGCAAGGCUGAACCCCAAUUCUCUGUUUUGCUUCUCAAAAAAAUCAGGAGUACCUCUGAGUGAUCUACACUAUAGAAUUAAUGCAGUUUAAUGCUGUUUUAACUGCCAUGUCUCAAUGCUAUGGAAUCCUGGGUUUGUAGUUUGGUGAGGCAGAAGCACUCUUUGGCAAAACAGGCUAGGUAAUGGUAAAGGUUUCCCCUUGACAUUAAGUCCAGUCGUGUCCGACUCUGGGUGAACACCUAGUAAAAAUACUACUCCCAGGAUUCUGUAGCAUUUAGCCAUGACGAACUGAAUUAAUUUUACAGUGUACAUGCAUCCUCUGUCUCAUCUGGAUUAAGCUUCAGUUCCUUUGUCCUCAUCCACUUCAUUAUUGGUUUAGUACUAAAACAUUUUCUUUGGAUUUAGAUGGGUUCAGUGUCAUUAGCACACAGGUGAUACUUAACUCCCAAACUCUGGACAACUUCUCCCAGUUGUUUACAUUAAACACCAUGGAGGACAAAAUUUAAUCCUGAAGGACCUCACAGGCCAAUAGCUAUGAGGUUAAAUCACAAUUCUCCAGGAUUAUCUGAAUCUGAGCAGUGCUCCUUUCAUGCUUGUGACAUUAACUAUGCUGUUUGGCUGAAGUCAAGGAACAGUGCAUUCUUUUGAUGCUUGUAAAGUAGCCUAUUACAUUUUGGAUUCCCAAAGCUGGAAAGAUUCCCCUCCUUUUGUUUUAAUAUUUUGUACAUUCCUUCCUAGAAUGGGACCUACAGCUCUGUUAGGAAUUUCUAGUGAUUUUUCAUUAUUGCCAACACUGUUCAGAAAAUAUCUGUUGUUAUUUGUACAGGCCCCCUUUAAAAGAAGACAAAAUGCACAUCAGUCUUUCUCUCUGGAUUACUCCCAGGUUUUAUUGCAGUGCAUGGAUCCAAUUUUUAAACUGGUUCAUGGCUCAGUAUUUGCUAUCCUCCCUGUGCUUUAUGUUGUGCCUGAUAGCAAGUGUGAAACGGCAUUUAAAAUUAUAGUUCAUUUACUGUGGUUAAACAUAAGGAAGCAAAAGCAAUUACCCACAUAAAAUGAUGGAAUUAAAGAUUCUUUGUGUGACCUAGUUUGCUAUUUAGUGUUCAGUGAGUGCUGCAAAAGAUAAAUACAUUCUUUAUAGGGGGCUGUAUCAAUCUCCAAUCAUGAAUGAAAGCCAGUGAACAUGAUUUAGAUAUAAAAUAUAUGGUUUGCAAACAAAAAUCAAUCUUUGACUAUGAGAUAAGAGUUAGUUGACAGUAUGGUGUCCCUCACUUGUUUCUAAAUAGGGAGGAAAAUCUUCUUUAGUAGAGAAACAGUUAUUGCUUUACAUAGCAAUUUAAACUGCUUCACAAAAAUAUAUACUAAAAGAAAAAAAACCCUUUAAAGAGAUAUCCAUGCAGAUGUUCUGUGAAAGAAGGGAGAUACAUUUUAAUAAAGGAAAGUGUAAUACAAAGAGAAAAUGUUAAUUAGUUUAAUUUAAUUACAGACUUAGUACACGUUAGAUGCUUAAAUUUUAUGGGUUGAUGAUUCAAAUUUGAUUGAUCAUAAAAAUUAGUAUACAUAUUGUUUUGAGGCCUCUCUUCUGCACGCAUGUGUAAUUUAAUCCACAAGCCCUCUCUGUUGAUACAUUGUGCAUUAAAAAAACUGAUUGAGGAAAGCCAGCAGAAAGGAAAAGUAAACCUGGAAUUAUAAUAUCUGUAUGGAUGUCAAAUGUUAUUUUGAAAAAUAUACAAACAAGGGACAAGGAAAUAAAAUUAUUUUAGAAUAUGACCAGAUUUGUUUCUUUGGCUUAGGGCAUAGCUUUGUAAUGGUUCAUAGAGGGAUAUACAUACAGACAGGUAAGCUAGGCCAGAACUGUUUAGGGCUUUAUAGGCUAAAGCCAGCACUUUGAAUUGUGCUUGGUAUCAGACUGGCAGCCAGUGGAACUGGCAUAACAGGAGGGUUGUAUGCUCCCUGUACUCUGCUCCAGUGAGUAAUCUGGCUGCUCCCUGUACUCCACUCCAGUGCGUAAUCUGAACCAAUUGAAGCUUCCAAACAGUCUUCAAACCCCAUGUAGAGUGCAUUGCAGUAGUCCAGGCCCGUA